rnacentral:rRNA from 1 species
GAUGAACGCUGGCGGCGUGCCUAAUACAUGCAAGUCGAACGAAUCUUCUUCGGAAGAUGAGUGGCGAACGGGUGAGUAAUACAUAGGUAACCUGCCCCAGUGCGGGGGAUAACAGGAGGACACUCCUGCUAAUACCGCAUAGCCAUGAGCACCGCAUGGAGCUCAUGCCAAAUAUCCUUUCGGGGAUAGCGCAGGGAUGGACCUAUGGCGCAUUAGCUGGUUGGCGGGGCAACGGCCCACCAAGGCAACGAUGCGUAGCCGGCCUGAGAGGGCGGACGGCCACAUUGGGACUGAGACACGGCCCAGACUCCUACGGGAGGCAGCAGUAGGGAAUUUUCGGCAAUGGGGGAAACCCUGACCGAGCAACGCCGCGUGAGCGAAGAAGGCCUUCGGGUCGUAAAGCUCUGUUGUAAAGGAAGAACGGCGCAUACAGGAAAUGGUAUGCGAGUGACGGUACUUUACCAGAAAGCCACGGCUAACUACGUGCCAGCCGCCGCAGUAA